CCUUCGUAGGUGAACCUGCGGAAGGAUCAUUAG
rnacentral:rRNA from 1 species